UCAUGGUGAAACCUCCAAACAUUUGGUAUCUCUGAAAAGCCCUGAAUGUGCUCUUUAAAGGACACCCAGAAUGUCAAGUCAAGUCACCUUUAUUUAUAUAGUGCUUUUUAUAAUACAGAUUGUUUUGCAUUUUUCAUAGAGAGCAUAUGACGUAAUUUAGAUAUAUUUUUAAGAUUUAAAAAUGCAGUUUUACAGAUAGUUUUUCGAGUCUAUUUAAAAGAAUGUUGUGGUCGCUAGUGUCAAGCAGCACUAAGAUCUAGUAGCACUAAUAGAGAGAUACAACCACAAUCGGAUGAUAAGAGCAAACCAUUUGUGACUAAUGAGAGGUGUCUCUCAGUACUAUGAUACAGUCUAAAUCCUGAUUGAAAAUCCUCACAGAUAGUUGUAAAGAUACUGCCUUUUCUAGUAAAUGUAGAAAGCAAACUGAAAGAUGAGGUGUGCUACAGUGCAAUGGUACACUUGGUUUUAUUAAAUAUUUGGUAUUUAACACCUCUUUAAAAGCCUGCUAAAUUAAUAAAUGCAUUUAAAUAAAUAAAGUUUUGUACUUUUUCACUACAGUUUCAGCUGUACUGUGAAUAUACUAAUGUGUUACUGCUUUAAUUUAGGCAAAGUAUCUGGCAACAGUUGGGGGUACAAGCCCAACCUCCAACACCAGACAUAUCCUGGUCUGCAUGCUGACCACCCCACUUGCCCAGCAACUGUGCUGGAAGGGCUCUGGCCAGAAGAUGGCCUUUGGGCAGAUGUUGGUCUGCAAAGCAGUUAUACACUGUAAUAAAUAUCUGUGUAUUAACAGUUGUAUGACUGUAUAUUUUAUCGGAAAUUGUCCAUAGCAGGUGAUUCACAGGUGUUUUUCCGUUUAUUUACAUUUUCGUGGUGCAUUAUGGGACCUUGAUCUCUGCUCCGACCACUUGGUGGCCAUUAUCGCGGUACAACUAGUGAUCUAGAUAAGUGAGUACGUAAUCUUCUACGGAGGGAAACAUUUAACGUACCUUCCCCCAUCUGUGUGUCUCAUCCAGCUCCACUUUGCGUGUAAAAGGAUGCCUUAGCAGAGCUGCCAAGCACCCCAUGUAUCAUAGUUGUUGAUGAAGGAAGAUUCAAAGGACGAAGUCACCGUAACCAAAACAUCAGCUGUCCUCUGGUUGCUGUGUUCAGCCUCUUCUAUGUGCUGAACAUCAUGUACCCCAAGGGAGCAGCCCUGACUCUGGAGUUUUUCCAGAGGAGCCUGUUGGGUAUAAAUCCAGAAUGUGGGUCUAAAGCAGGCUUUCCACCAAAACUGCUUAGAUUCCUGUGAGACUUUCAGAAUCCUUUGGAAGAUUUAAAGACAUAGAACUACACAUGAGAUAAAGGAACAUGAGCCCUAAUCAUCAAACCAAUAUGACAUGACUGCUGUAGAGAGACGUCCUGUACUGUUUAAUUACAGUACUGGUGCUCGGAUGAAAAAAGGACAGUGGACAAGCGUCUUUGCCAUUUUUGGAGUAAUUAGAUCAAUAGUAAACCAAUCGUUUUUGAGAAUGAUCCCUCUGGCGUCAAUGGGUGGAUUCUGCAUUGACAUACACUCAAGAACACACACAUUAGAGCAGACAACACACCCAUGAGACCUGCAUGAGCAGGACCCUGACCUUUCUACAACAACGCAACAGCUGCCUUUCUUUCUGGAUCCCUUUUUAAAAGGACUCAAAGAUUUCUUACCAUUUUUUGCCUUUUUGUGUAACAGUUUAACCUUACAAGGGUUUACUCAACAUAACCCUCCUUUAUAGGCUUGGUUAUGUCUUAGAUCAAUGCCUAAAAUGUACAAUAAUUGUGUACUUUCAAAACCUCCUGUUGAUAUUCACUCUAAUCCUGAACUGUGUUGCAUUUUUAUUUGACCCAUGAAAUUGUUCAUUUUAAAUUUUUCAUGCUCAUAUCCCAACUAUUGAGGAUUUCAUAAAGUUUCAUAUUGAAAUUUUUUUUAUGGCUGUUUCAUUUAUGUGAAGCUGCAAUGGGCCAUUUUGAUCCAAACUAGUCGCUUAUCUAAAAUUGAUGAAUUUUUUUUAAUCUAUAAUUUAAUAAAAAAAAUUAUUUAUCGCAGAAGAUUUGUUUGAAUUUUUUUUUAACAAGAGUUAUCACUGUAGGUACACAGUUAACUAACAGAAAAGUUUAAAUUUUAUUGCUGUUGGUAUAAUACUGACAACAAAUAUUUUUGUUUUAUUAUCUGUAGGUAAACCAUAAAUUAACAGAUGUUUCAUUUUUUUUUAAAUUACAGGACAAAGUCAGGGUAAUGAGAUGCCAGUAUAUGUUCUGUUAUUUUAUGGAUUUAUUUAAUAUUUGCAGUUUUUAUACUGUAGGUAUACCAUUAAAUAACAGGAAGUGUUCUGUUUUUUACUGUAUAGAUGCACUAUUAAUUAAUAGAAAAUGUCCUGUUUUUUUUAUUGUAGGUAUACCAUUAAAACACAGAAAAUACAUAGUUUUUUUUUUUACUAUAGAUGCACCAUUAAAACACCGAAAAUUUCCUGUUUUUUUACUGUGGGCGCACUGUCAAUUAACAGAAAAUUUCUGUUUUUUAAUUACGGUACAAAGUCCGGGUAAUGAGCUGCCACUUUUUCUGUUAUUUUACGGAUUUAUUUCUUAGAGUGUAGGUACAGUAUAUAAUGUUUAUAUGUGAUAAGCCCGUAUAACAGGAAUAAAAAUGAAAAAAAAUAAAUAAAUAAAUGGGAAGGAAAAAUCAGUAGUCAGGCGUAAAUGUACAGUAAAUGAACAAUGUUUGAUCUAUCUCCAUGUUUCCUGUAGCCAGUAAUCCUCGUCAAAGUGCAAAGGAGGUUGAAAUGGUGUAACAGUACUUGAACAACCCUUAUUUUGUUUUUAACAUUUGUAUUUCAAUUGAUCCUUUCUCACUUAGAUGCUGUGACAAAAAGCAGCCAAGCCACUGCAUGCGAGGUGGAAGCGUCCAUAAAAACGUGGCUCCGUAAUGCAAGGGACAGGGAUGGGGGAAGGCAAGGAAGGGCCAGAACUGCAGUGAGGGAAAUACCUACUGAUGGGAUUGGUUUUUAAUUUACUUUCAUUUGUGUUUUAAGUAUUCUGUGGUUCUGUUUUUGUGUGUUUAUUGCUGUUUUAAACUGCUCUAUUGCUUUUUUUAUUGCUUGUUAAAAAUAAAU